UGAGGAAUAUUGGUCAAUGGGCGAGAGCCUGAACCAGCCAAGUAGCGUGCAGGAUGACGGCCCUAUGGGUUGUAAACUGCUUUUAUGUGGGGAUAAAGUGAGCUACGUGUAGUUUAUUGCAGGUACCACAUGAAUAAGGACCGGCUAAUUCCGUGCCAGCAGCCGCGGUAAUACGGAAGGUCCAGGCGUUAUCCGGAUUUAUUGGGUUUAAAGGGAGCGUAGGCCGUGGGUUAAGCGUGUUGUGAAAUGUAGACGCUCAACGUCUGAAUUGCAGCGCGAACUGGUUCACUUGAGUAUGCACAACGUAGGCGGAAUUCGUCGUGUAGCGGUGAAAUGCUUAGAUAUGACGAAGAACUCCGAUUGCGAAGGCAGCUUACGGGAGCACAACUGACGCUGAAGCUCGAAGGUGCGGGUAUCAAACAGGAUUAGAUACCCUGGUAGUCCGCACAGUAAACGAUGGAUGCCCGUUGUUAGUUCACUUAAGAAUUAGCGACCAAGCGAAAGCAUUAAGCAUCCCACCUGGGGAGUACGCCGGCAACGGUG
rnacentral:rRNA from 1 species